UACGAAGGGUGCAAGCGUUAAUCGGAAUUACUGGGCGUAAAGCGUGCGUAGGCGGUUUGUUAAGUCUGCUGUGAAAUCCCCGGGCUCAACCUGGGAAUGGCAGUGGAUACUGGCAAGCUAGAGUGUGUCAGAGGAUGGUGGAAUUCCCGGUGUAGCGGUGAAAUGCGUAGAUAUCAGGAGGAAUACCGAUGGCGAAGGCAGGUCUCUGGGCUGACACUGACGCUCAUGCACGAAAGCGUGGGGAGCAAACAGG
rnacentral:rRNA from 1 species